UAUUUUAGUCUUGUUAGAGGAACCUGUUUUAUAAUCGAUAAACCACGNAUAUCUUACUUAUUUUAAAUAAUUUGUAUACCGUCAUUAUUAGAUAACUUUCAAAAAAUUAGUUAUUAAAAUUAAAUAAAAUUAAAUAAAAUUAAAUAUAUUAGAUCAAGGUGCAGUUAAUAAAUAAGAAAAAAUGGGUUACAAUAAAAUUUAUUUAAAACGAAUUAUAUAAAUGUAAAAAUAUAUGAAGGAGGAUUUAAUUGUAAUUUUUUUUUUUAAUAAUAAUAAUAUGAUAAUAGCUCUAAAAUAU
rnacentral:rRNA from 1 species